GGAGAAUUAGCUCAGCUGGGAGAGCAUCUGACUUACAAGCAGAGGGUCGGCGGUUCGAACCCGUCAUUCUCCACCA
rnacentral:tRNA from 2 species